GUAAUUAGGUGUAACGACGCACAGAAAAUUUUGAUUUUUAAGGGCAAGUUUAAUUCUUGAAUUUACA
rnacentral:tRNA from 1 species